UACGAAGGGGGCUAGCGUUGUUCGGAAUCAUUGGGCGUAAAGCGCACGUAGGCGGUUCGUUAUGUCGGAUGUGAAAGCCCUUGGCUUAACCGAGGAAGUGCAUCCGAAACUGGCGAGCUAGAGUACGAAAGAGGAUCGCGGAAUUCCCGGUGUAGAGGUGAAAUUCGUAGAUAUCGGGAGGAACACCGGUGGCGAAGGCGGCUACCUGGCCCAACAUUGACACUGAGACCCGAAAGCGUGGGGAUCAAACAGG
rnacentral:rRNA from 1 species